CGUCUAUAUACGUAUAGCAUAUCAAUAAGCGGAGGAAAAGAAACUAACAAGGAUUCCCUUAGUAACGGCGAGUGAAGCGGGAAGAGCUCAAAUUUGAAAUCUUCAAGGGUUUCCCUUGACGAAUUGUAGUUUAAAGAAGUGUUUUCUGUUAGAGAGGUGGUAAAAGUUCUUUGGAAUAGGACAUCAUAGAGGGUGAGAAUCCCGUAUUUGAUCACUUUCUACUAACGUUGUGAUACACUUUCAAAGAGUCGGAUUGUUUGGGAAUGCAGUCCAAAAUGGGUGGUAAAUUUCAUCUAAAGCUAAAUAUUGGCGAGAGACCGAUAGCGAACAAGUACCGUGAGGGAAAGAUGAAAAGAACUUUGAAAAGAGAGUUAAACAGUACGUGAAAUUGUCAAAAGGGAAGCGUUUGACACCAGUGUUGUUUUUCCGAAAACCAAUUAAGAAUGGCCGGAUUUUAAGUUUCAUGACCUUAAAAGCUUGUUUCUUAUUUUUCAUGUCUUUCGUAAUGCACUUUUCGGUUAACAAGUCAACAUCAAUUUCUUUUGUUGUAAAAGGUUAAGAGGAAGGUGGCUUUACUUUCGGGUAAAGUGUUUAUAGCCUUUUAACUCUGCAAUCGGAGAGAUUGAGGUCUGCAGCGUAGAUCCUUCGGGGUUAGAUACAGUUUGUGCUAAGUUAUAGCUUUUCAUAGACAACUUGUUGACUAUGUUUAGUCUUGUAGCUUACUCGCAUGCGCUAUUUUACCUACGCUUAGGAUGUUGAUAUGCAUGACUGAUAU
rnacentral:rRNA from 1 species